rfam:Myotis brandtii contig190328, whole genome shotgun sequence.
GGUGGUUCCCUGGUGAUGCACCCCAGAAUUGGGCUCCUUCCUCUCUGGUUGUGGGUGCAACACCUGAGAACCGCA